GGUUCGAUGGCGUAGUUGGGUAUCACAUCUGCCUGUUCGCGGUUUCACAGAAGGCCCUCAGUUCAAACUUGGGUCGAAAUCA